rnacentral:rRNA from 1 species
AUCCCAACGGCUAGUCGACAUCGUUUACGGCGUGGACUACCAGGGUAUCUAAUCCUGUUUGCUCCCCACGCUUUCGCACCUCAGUGUCAGUAUCAGUCCAGGUGGUCGCCUUCGCCACUGGUGUUCCUUCCUAUAUCUACGCAUUUCACCGCUACACAGGAAAUUCCACCACCCUCUACCGUACUCUAGCUCAGUAGUUUUGGAUGCAGUUCCCAGGUUGAGCCCGGGGAUUUCACAUCCAACUUGCUGAACCACCUACGCGCGCUUUACGCCCAGUAAUUCCGAUUAACGCUUGCACCCUUCGUAUUACCGCGGCUGCUGGCACGAAGUUAGCCGGUGCUUAUUCUGUUGGUAACGUCAAAACAGCAAGGUAUUAACUUACUGCCCUUCCUCCCAACUUAAAGUGCUUUACAAUCCGAAGACCUUCUUCACACACGCGGCAUGGCUGGAUCAGGCUUUCGCCCAUUGUCCAAUAUUCCCCACUGCUGCCUCCCGUAGGAGUCUGGACCGUGUCUCAGUUCCAGUGUGACUGAUCAUCCUCUCAGACCAGUUACUGAUCGUCGCCUUGGUAGGCCUUUACCCCACCAACUAGCUAAUCCGACCUAGGCUCAUCUGAUAGCGUGAGGUCCGAAGAUCCCCCACUUUCUCCCUCAGGACGUAUGCGGUAUCAGCGCCCGUUUCCGGACGUUAUCCCCCACUACCAGGCAGAUUCCUAGGCAUUACUCACCCGUCCGCCGCUGAAUCCAGGAGCAAGCUCCCUUCAUCCGCUCGACUUGCAUGUGUUAGGCCUGCCGCCAGCGUUCAAUCUGAGCCAGGAUCAAACCCUU